GACCGCCAUAGUUCCAAUGGGAAAGAACCUAGACACCUGAAAUUUUGCACCCAUGCUGAGGGUGCGCACCUGGGUAUUGUUCUUUGAAAUUUG